rnacentral:snoRNA from 1 species
AAGCAUCGCCUGAUAGGCCGGGAGCGAUUCCGUUUCCUCUCCGGCUUGCAUUCAGAUGCCAGAGUGACCCCUCCCUGCGCUUUCUGCCUGCCCUGAUUCCCGUAGCAGCUCAGAUUGAAUAAGGGAGAACAUUU